rnacentral:tRNA from 1 species
GCGGGCGUAGCUCAAUUGGAUAGAGCAUCGGUCUACGGAACCGAAGGUUACAGGUUCGAGUCCUGUCGCCCGUA